UACGUAGGGGGCAAGCGUUGUCCGGAAUCAUUGGGCGUAAAGAGCGUGUAGGCGGCCCGGUAAGUCCGCUGUGAAAGUCCAGGGCUCAACCCUGGGAUGCCGGUGGAUACUGUCGGGCUCGAGUCCGGAAGAGGAGUGUGGAAUUCCUGGUGUAGCGGUGAAAUGCGCAGAUAUCAGGAGGAACACCAAUGGCGAAGGCAGCACUCUGGGACGUGACUGGACGCUGAGACGCGAAAGCGUGGGAGCAAACAGG
rnacentral:rRNA from 1 species